GUCAGGCGGGGCCACCCGCCGAGUUUAA
rnacentral:rRNA from 2 species